rnacentral:rRNA from 1 species
GGGGGGGGGCCGGGGCUUGGGUAUCCCCUAAAAACGGCCGCCAGGGGGGUGGAAUUCGCCCUUGAGUUUGAUCCUGGCUCAGAUUGAACGCUGGCGGCAGGCCUAACACAUGCAAGUCGAGCGGAAACGAGUUAACUGAACCUUCGGGGAACGUUAACGGCGUCGAGCGGCGGACGGGUGAGUAAUGCCUGGGAAAUUGCCCUGAUGUGGGGGAUAACCAUUGGAAACGAUGGCUAAUACCGCAUAAUAGCUUCGGCUCAAAGAGGGGGACCUUCGGGCCUCUCGCGUCAGGAUAUGCCCAGGUGGGAUUAGCUAGUUGGUGAGGUAAUGGCUCACCAAGGCGACGAUCCCUAGCUGGUCUGAGAGGAUGAUCAGCCACACUGGAACUGAGACACGGGCCAGACUCCUACGGGAGGCAGCAGUGGGGAAUAUUGCACAAUGGGCGCAAGCCUGAUGCAGCCAUGCCGCGUGUAUGAAGAAGGCCUUCGGGUUGUAAAGUACUUUCAGCAGUGAGGAAGGUGGGUAUGUGAAUAGCAUACACAUUUGACGUUAGCUGCAGAAGAAGCACCGGCUAACUCCGUGCCAGCAGCCGCGGUAAUACGGAGGGGGCGAGCGUUAAUCGGAAUUACUGGGCGUAAAGCGCAUGCAGGUGGUUUGUUAAGUCAGAUGUGAAAGCCCGGGGCUCAACCUCGGAAUUGCAUUUGAAACGGGCAAACNAGAGNACGGNAGAGGGGGGUAGAAUUUCAGGNGUAGCGGNGAAAUGCGUAGAGAACAGAAGGAAAACCGGGGGCGAAGGCGGCCCCCCGGACAGAAACAGACACNCAAAAGCGAAAGCGGGGGGAGCAACAAAAA